GACCUUUUCCUUCCCUAGAAUCCAGCACCUGGGAGCUGAAAUCCAUCUGAUCAGAGACUUGAUGGAUCCCACCAACCAAGGAGGAAUGUUUGACUUCCUGCUGACAGCACUGGAGUCAUGCUACGAGCACAUCCAGAGGAUGAGGCUCCACCAGAGGGAGAACUGCCCCCUGACUGCCAGCUCCUGAGCCCCAGGAUCCCAAGGGAACAUCCUUCCUGCUGGAUGAGGAAUCCUUUGUUUCCCUGCUGCUCUGGUUGCCUUUCAAAGGGAAGAAUUCUUGGAUCAGCUGCGGGUUUCCUUGGAAUAACCCUGCUCCUAAAGCACACACGGGGAUGCUGAUGGAUAAAACUCUCUGCUGUCCAACCUCAGCUGGUGGUUGGGAAUCUCUUCCCGAGUGGAAAAGGUUUCUUUUGGCCCUGUGGCUUCGUUUUCCUUGUCCUGCAAAUCCCAGGGAGCUCCUUUUUCCCUGCUCUGGUGAACAGACAGAAAGGAGAAGAGUUUAUUGGAGAGAAAGCACAGGAGUUCUGGUGGGACCAUUUCUGGUUGGAGAGGUCACCCCCACAUUCCUAAAAAAACCCCAUUCCUGGAGGGCAGAGGGGGUUUCUCCACUCCUCUUCCUCCCUGGGCUAAAACUCAGGACCUGUCCAUGGCAUUGGAAAGCUGCUAUUCCCCAAUUCCCAUGGUUUUAGGAGACCAAAAGAUGUGGAUUUAUUGAAGCCUCAGGGAAUGUCACACCCGCACCUUGGAUCUGCUCCUGCUGCUCUGGAAUUCUGCAGGGAUUUCCUGUGGGCUUGGAAGAAAAGGAAUGUUGGUCUGGGGGGAGAAAUCCCAACUCCUGGGAAGAGAAAACAUGCAAACACUUGUUUUUCCUGCUGCUUUUCCAAGGAGAUUUGUGCUGACAGACCCCCCCAGACACCAAAAUCAGGUUGGGAUUUAGCCUUCCUUUGGAAAAUCAAAGGGAUAUUUGGGAUUUUUUGUCCCUCCCAGACCUGUGUGAGGUGCAUUUGGAGAGGUUUUGACACAGAUUUUAACCUGCUUUUUUUUUUUUUUUUAAAUUAUUUUUUAAAGUUUGACUUUGAAUUAAUUGCCCAGGUAACUAAUGAACUAUCCAGGCAAAACACAAGCUCUUGGCUCCUGUUUCUCACAUGGAUUGAUGCUUUAAUAAAUAAUAACACUGAUUACAAGAAUUAAUAUAUUGGGAUGAGAGUCUCCUACUUGGAUGUAUUUAAAUAAAGCUGGUUGGAAAUUUGAAGGGA